CCUACGGGUGGCAGCAGUAGGGAAUCUUCCACAAUGGGCGAAAGCCUGAUGGAGCAACGCCGCGUGGGUGAAGAAGGCCUUCGGAUCGUAAAACUCUGUUGUUAGAGAAGUAAGUGCGUGAGAGUAACGGUUCACGUUUCGACGGUAUCUAACCAGAAAGGCACGGCUCACUACGUGCCAGCAGCCGCGGCAAUACGGAGGUGGCAAGCGUGGUCCGGAUUUAUUGGGCGGAAAGGGAACGUAGGUGGUCUGUUAAGUCAGAUGUGAAAGCUUUCGGCUUAACCGGAAUAGUGCAUUGGAAACUGGGAGACUUGAGUGCAGAAGAGGAGAGUGGAACUCGAGGUGUAGCGGUGAAAUGCGUAGAUAUAUGGAAGAACUCCAGUGGCGAAGGCGGCUCUCUGGACUGUAACUGACGCUGAGGUUCGAAAGCGUGGGUAGCAAACAGGAUUAGAUACCCGAGUAGUC
rnacentral:rRNA from 1 species